UUAGUUAUAAAUUUAUCACAGCAAAUCUUAAUUGAUGAUUGAUUAAGAUUUAACGAAUCAAAAACAUUUUUGAUCAGUAAUAAUUUUUAUGCGGAAAAAUCUUUUUUACAAAAUAUAAAUUAAUAAUUUUAUUUUAUGUUUUACUUU
rnacentral:antisense_RNA from 1 species